rnacentral:rRNA from 1 species
GACGAACGCUGGCGGCGUGCUUAACACAUGCAAGUCGAACGGAAAGGCCCUGCUUUUGUGGGGUGCUCGAGUGGCGAACGGGUGAGUAACACGUGAGUAACCUGCCCUUGACUUUGGGAUAACUUCAGGAAACUGGGGCUAAUACCGGAUAGGAGCUCCUGCUGCAUGGUGGGGGUUGGAAAGUUUCGGCGGUUGGGGACGGACUCGCGGCUUAUCAGCUUGUUGGUGGGGUAGUGGCUUACCAAGGCUUUGACGGGUAGCCGGCCUGAGAGGGUGACCGGCCCCACUGGGAAUGGAGAAACGGCCCGCACCCGAGCGGGGGGCGGAAGGGGGGAAUUGUGACAAAGGGCGGGAAGCCUGAAGCAGCCCCGCCGGGGGGGGGUUGAGGGCCUUCGGUUUGGAAACCGCUUUCCCCUGUGACGAAGCGAGAGUGACGGUAGGGGGAAAAGAAACACCGACAAACUACGGG